CAUUGCAAACUCCCAGCUCAUAACAAAUCCUCUCUCGACUACAGCUUUUCCUUAAAAAAAUAACUUCCCUUUCCAUUUCCAAAUACCUAUAACUUCCACACUGGUUCUCAUUAUAGUCUUUUUUACUAAGAAGUAACUACCUUGGGCGUACUACAAACUAUCCUCCUCUCUCGUUCACAUUUUCUUAACUUCUUUAAACAAACAACUAAAGCUUAACUCAAUAAUGUCUUCUAAAGGCUGGACUCCACAACAAAACAAGGCUUUUGAAAGCGCUCUUAACAAGUACGACAAGGAUACACCUGAUCGUUGGAACAAUAUUGCCAAAGAGGUUAGUGGAAAAUCUGUGGAUGAUGUAAAGAAACGUUAUCAAGAACUCCUUGAGGACAUCCAACACAUUGAGUCAGGCCGAGUGCCCUUCCCUUACAAUUGGAAGAUGUAACCAAAGGAUGAAAAAUACAAAAAUUCAACCAAAGAUCCUUAUUGGGGGUGAAUAAAACCGACUGUGGCUAUUACACAUUGGUGCUGAUGAUUUAGAAUUUCUCGUUCUAGUUGUUUUCGCAAAAUUGUUACUUCGUAAAUGGUUUCAUUUUUGUAACAUAUAGUUAUAUGUAUCAAAUACCAAAAAAUGCAAUGUAUUGAUGCUCCUAAAUGCGCAAGCAUGUAUCAAUUGGGAGCCAAUCAAUUGUAUACAAUUGUGUUUGUAAUUACAUAAUAUCUGUGCAAUAGAAUUAUUGUUUGUACUUAAAAUUCACAAAUAGAGUUGUAACUCAAAACAUAUGAAAUUGAAUAAUGUUUUAUAAUUUGAA